ACAUUAGCGCAAGUUAUCUUGCCCUGUUGGAUAGAGUUAGUGUACAAAUAUCUCCUAUUAAUGAUGGAAACAUUUUUUUUUCAUAUUCUGAACCAUAUUGGUACCACUGACCUUAAAGCAAACAUUGGUGAUUUUUUUUUUAAUUUAGAAGAAAAAUGUAUAUUAAUAGAAUCUAGAAAAUGUUUACCUAAAGUCAAUUUAUAUAUAUAUAUACUUUUUUCAAUUGUGUAUAUAUAAGAAAAUGAAUAAAGAAAUGCUAACCACUACUGCCAUUAACACUGUUAAUUUUUUUUUCCAUUAAUGAAUUUAAAACUUAAUAUGUAUGGAUUAAAUUUAAAUUAAAAAUAUUUAGCUACAACGUCAAACUAAAUGUGAAAUUAUUUUUGUUAAUAGAUAUCAGACCAUCAUGUAGGGAUCAUCCACAAG